rnacentral:rRNA from 1 species
CAUGACAGUCGAGCGGGGUUGAAGCGAGGGGUAACUCGAACUUCUACCUAGCGGCGGACGGGUGAGUAACGCGUGGGCAACCUGCCUCAAGGUCUGGGAUAACAGCCCGAAAGGGCUGCUAAUACCGGGUAAGCUUGUGGCCUCGCAUGGGGCCAUGAGCAAAGGGGAAACCCGCCUUGAGAUGGGCCCGCGUCCCAUCAGCUAGUUGGUGAGGUAAAGGCUCACCAAGGCGACGACGGGUAGCCGGCCUGAGAGGGUGACCGGCCACACUGGGACUGAGACACGGCCCAGACUCCUACGGGGGGCAGCAGUGGGGAAUCUUGCACAAUGGGCGAAAGCCUGAUGCAGCGACGCCGCGUGAGCGAAGAAGGCCUUCGGGUUGUAAAGCUCUGUCUGGAGGGACGAAGGAAGUGACGGUACCUCCGGAGGAAGCCACGGCUAACUACGUGCCAGCAGCCCGAGGUAAUAC